CCUACGGGUGGCAGCAGUGGGGAAUAUUGCGCAAUGGGCGAAAGCCUGACGCAGCGACGCCGCGUGAGGGAUGAAGGUCUUCGGAUCGUAAACCUCUGUCAGCAGGGAAGAACGGUCACUGUGCUAAUCAGCAGUGAAUUGACGGUACCUGCAAAGGAAGCACCGGCUAACUCCGUGCCAGCAGCCGCGGUAAUACGGAGGGUGCGAGCGUUAAUCGGAAUUUCUGGGCGUAAAGCGCUCGUAGGCGGUAUGUCAAGUCAAGGGUGAAAUCCCCGCGCUCAACGUGGGAACUGCCUUUGAAACCGGCAAACUUGAGUGUGUGAGAGGAUAGUGGAAUUCCAGGUGUAGGAGUGAAAUCCGGAGAUAUCUGGAGGAACAUCAGUGGCGAAGGCGACUAUCUGGCACAUAACUGACGCUGAGGAGCGAAAGCGUGGGUAGCAAACAGGAUUAGAUACCCCAGUAGUC
rnacentral:rRNA from 1 species